AACGAACGCUGGCGGCAUGCCUAACACAUGCAGGUCGAACGAAGCCUUCGGGCUUAGUGGCGCACGGGUGCGUAACGCGUGGGAAUCUGCCCCUUGCUUCGGAAUAACAGUUAGAAAUGACUGCUAAUACCGGAUGAAGUCUUCGGACCAAAGAUUUAUCGGCAAGGGAUGAGCCCGCGUAGGAUUAGGUAGUUGGUGGGGUAAAGGCCUACCAAGCCGACGAUCCUUAGCUGGUCUGAGAGGAUGAUCAGCCACACUGGGACUGAGACACGGCCCAGACUCCUACGGGAGGCAGCAGUGGGGAAUAUUGGACAAUGGACGCAAGUCUGAUCCAGCAAUGCCGCGUGAGUGAUGAAGGCCUUAGGGUUGUAAAGCUCUUUUACCAGGGAUGAUAAUGACAGUACCUGGAGAAUAAGCGCCGGCUAACUCCGUG
rnacentral:rRNA from 1 species